UACGAGGGGGGCUAGUGUUGUUCGGAAUCACUGGGCGUAAAGGGUGCGUAGGUGGCAUGGUAAGUCGGGUGUGAAAUCCCGGGGCUCAACCCCGGAACUGCACUCGAUACUGCCGUGCUCGAGUACUGGAGAGGAGACUGGAAUUUACGGUGUAGCAGUGAAAUGCGUAGAUAUCGUAAGGAAGACCGGUGGCGAAGGCUAGUCUCUGGACAGUUACUGACACUGAGGCACGAAGGCCAGGGGAGCAAACGGG
rnacentral:rRNA from 1 species